AUUGAACGCUGGCGGCAUGCCUAACACAUGCAAGUCGAACGGCAGCACGGCAGUAGCAAUACUGUGGGUGGCGAGUGGCGGACGGGUGAGGAAUACGUCGGAAUCUGCCCAGUCGUGGGGGAUAACUAGCCGAAAGGUUAGCUAAUACCGCAUACGACCGAGAGGUGAAAGCGGGGGACCGCAAGGCCUCGCGCGAUUGGAUGAGCCGACGUCGGAUUAGCUAGUUGGUGGGGUAAAGGCCCACCAAGGCGACGAUCCGUAGCUGGUCUGAGAGGAUGAUCAGCCACACUGGUACUGAGACACGGUCCAGACUCCUACGGGAGGCAGCAGUGGGGAAUAUUGGACAAUGGGCGCAAGCCUGAUCCAGCAGUGCCGCGUGUGUGAAGAAGGCCUUCGGGUUGUAAAGCACUUUUAUCAGGAACGAAAAGCGUUGGAUUAAUACUCUGACGUGCUGACGGUACCUGAGGAAUAAGCACCGGCUAACUUCGUG
rnacentral:rRNA from 1 species